rnacentral:rRNA from 1 species
CACGUAGGUGGCAAGCGUUGUCCGGAUUUAUUGGGUUUAAAGGGUGCGUAGGCGGGUUAUUAAGUCAGUGGUGAAAGCCUUCAGCUUAACUGAAGAACUGCCAUUGAUACUGAUGAUCUUGAGUAUGAUUGAGGUGGGCGGAAUGUGUCAUGUAGCGGUGAAAUGCUUAGAUAUGACACAGAACACCGAUUGCGAAGGCAGCUCACUAAGCCAUAACUGACGCUGAUGCACGAAAGCGUGGGGAGCAAACAGG